AUGUUUACUCUUUUCCUGGGAGCUUUGAUCUUACUUUACUUUCUUUUUAAUAAAUUUCCUCGCGACAGUGAUUCAAUCUCUCUUGAUUUUUCUAUCAAAUACAAAUAUCUUUAUUAUAACAAAACUGCCAAUUUUGUUAGAAUUAAAUAUAUCAAGAGAAUGGAGAAGGUAGCCCUGCCGUCUCCAUUGCAGCGGAAAAAGUCCUCCCUCCACGGAAAAAGGAGUCAAUACUUCAGCCAAGGUAGCAAAAGAACAUAA